GUGGGGAAUUUUGGACAAUGGGCGAAAGCCUGAUCCAGCCAUGCCGCGUGUGUGAAGAAGGUCUUCGGAUUGUAAAGCACUUUAAGUUGGGAGGAAGGGCAGUAAGUUAAUACCUUGCUGUUUUGACGUUACCGACAGAAUAAGCACCGGCUAACUUCGUGCCAGCAGCCGCGGUAAUACAGAGGGUGCAAGCGUUAAUCGGAUUUACUGGGCGUAAAGCGCGCGUAGGUGGUUCAGCAAGUUGAAGGUGAAAUCCCCGGGCUCAACCUGGGAACUGCCUCCAAAACUACUGAGGUAGAGUACGGUAGAGGGUAGUGGAAUUUCCUGUGUAGCGGUGAAAUGCGUAGAUAUAGGAAGGAACACCAGUGGCGAAGGCGACUACCUGGACUGAUACUGACACUGAGGUGCGAAAGCGUGGGGAGCAAACAGGAUUAGAAACCCUUGUAGUCC
rnacentral:rRNA from 1 species